GUGCUCGCUUCUGCAGCACGUAUACUAAAACUGGAAUGAUACUGAGAAGAUUAGCAUGGUCCUUGCGCAAGGAAGACAUGCAGAAUGGUGAGGCAUCCCAUAAUUUC